GACGAACGCUGGCGGCGUGCUUAACACAUGCAAGUCGAACGAUGAAGCCGGAGCUUGCUCUGGUGAAUUAGUGGCGAACGGGUGAGUAACACGUGAGUAACCUGCCCUUGACUCUGGGAUAACUGCGGGAAACUGUAGCUAAUACCGGAUACGACCCUCGGAGGCAUCUCCUGGGGGUGGAAAGAAUUUCGGUCGAGGAUGGACUCGCGGCCUAUCAGCUAGUUGGUGAGGUAAAGGGUCACCAAGGCGACGACGGGUAGCCGGCCUGAGAGGGUGACCGGCCACACUGGGACUGAGACACGGCCCAGACUCCUACGGGAGGCAGCAGUGGGGAAUAUUGCACAAUGGGCGCAAGCCUGAUGCAGCAACGCCGCGUGAGGGAUGACGGCCUUCGGGUUGUAAACCUCUUUUAGCAGGGAAGAAGCGAAAGUGACGGUACCUGCAGAAAAAGCACCGGCUAACUACGUGCCAGCCGCCGCAGUAA
rnacentral:rRNA from 1 species